UCGAGGGUGUCAUAAGACCUGCUAACUCUUUAAUCUGGGACUAACAUACCAGCUCCCUC
rnacentral:tRNA from 1 species